rnacentral:tRNA from 7 species
UGGGGAGUAGUGUAACGGUAACACGCCUGACUUUGGAUCAGCGCGAUUCAAGGUUCGAAUCCUUGCUCCCCAG